rnacentral:rRNA from 1 species
UACGUAGGGGGCAAGCGUUGUUCGGAAUUACUGGGCGUAAAGCGCGCGUAGGCGGUUUGGAAAGUCAGAUGUGAAAGCCCCGGGCUCAACUUGGGAACUGCAUUGAUACUGCCAGACUAGAGUACAGAAGAGGUGACUGGAAUUCCCAGUGUAGCGGUGAAAUGCGUAGAUAUUGGGAGGAACACCAGAUGCGAAGGCGGGUCACUGGGCUGAUGACUGACGCUGAUGACGGCGAAAGCCAGGGGAGGCAAAACGGG